rnacentral:tRNA from 1 species
CGAGGUCGCGGCCACCGGGGCCGGGGUGCGCCGGUUCGCGCUCGGCGACCGGGUGUUCGGCUUCACCGGCUUCGG